UUUUAGGUUAUAUUGUCUCCCUCUCGGAGCAUCUCCGAAAGAAACUUUAUAACUUCAAAUAUAGAGUUUUUAUUCUCCAAAAGGAACUUCAAAACUUUAAAUUUAGAGUUCUGAGAAAUGAAUCACUACUCAAAACUUCAAAUUUGAAGUUUCAUCUUUUUAUUUUUAUUUUGAUCAUUAUAAUUAAUUACACAUUACAUUUAUGAUUCUUAAGUAUUUU
rnacentral:lncRNA from 1 species